CCCUUAGAUGUCCUGGGCUGCACGCGCGCUACACUGAUGCGCUCAACGAGUUUACGACCUUGCCCGAUAGGGUUGGGUAAUCUUUUUAAAAUGCAUCGUGAUGGGGAUAGAUUAUUGCAAUUAUUAAUCUUCAACGAGGAAUUCCUAGUAAGCGCGAGUCAUCAGCUCGUGCUGAUUACGUCCCUGCCCUUUGUACACACCGCCCGUCGCUCCUACCGAUUGAGUGCUCAGGUGAAUAAUUCGGACUGCAGCAAUGUUUGGAUCCCGAACGUUGCAGCGGAAAGUUUAGUGAACCUUAUCACUUAGAGGAAGGAGAAGUCGUAACA
rnacentral:rRNA from 1 species